GACGAACGCUGGCGGCGUGCCUAAUACAUGCGAGUAGAACGCACAGUUUAUACCGUAGCUUGCUACACCAUACACUGUGAGUUGCGAACGGGUGAGUAACGCGUAGGUAACCUGCCUGGUAGCGGGGGAUAACUAUUGGAAACGAUAGCUAAUACCUCAUAAUAUUGAUUAUUGCAUGAUAAUUGAUUGAAAGAUGCUAUUGCAUCACUACCAGAUGGACCUUCGUUGUAUUAGCUAGUAGGUGAGGUAACGGCUCACCUAGGCGACGAUACAUAGCCGAACCUGGGGGGGGGUUGGCCAAACUGGGAAUGGAAACAGGCCCAGAAUCCCUCGGGGAGCAGCAGUAGGGAAACUUCGGCAAUGGACGAAAGUCUGGACGAGCAACGCCGCGUGAGGGAAGGAGGUUCUCGGGUUGUAAAGCCUCGUUGUAAGGGAAGAAAGAAUGGGGUAGUGGAAAGUGCACAUCGUGACGGUAUCUUAUCAGAAAGCGACGGCUAACUACGUG
rnacentral:rRNA from 1 species